CAUCUCCCUUCUUUCUCUUCCCUUUUCUCCCCAUUCACGCAAAAUCCCUAAUUUGGGGAGAGACCAACCCUAGCACGAUUUCUCGGUUGGGAAAGAAGGCUCGAUCGAAAGGAAGGAGCAGCGACGUCGGCCGAGACCGCUGUUGUCGCGUUCCCCCGUCGCGCCUUUUCUUCACCGUCGUGCUCCCUCCGCUGCUCACGACUUGCGACGCUUUUCACGUUCAGACGUCGCACCACCUCCCGUCGUCAAAUGUGAGCAGCCAGCUUGCUGCUGUCUCUAGCCGUCAUUGUUGUGGCGAGACCGUCUCCCUCUCAUCGACUCAGCGCCAGCGCCAUCGGAGCAGGCAAAGGAGUGUCGCCGUCGAGAUUGGCCGCGGUCGGUCGUGCAGCCGCCGUCGUACACUUGGCAUGACAUCAGACCACGCUGUCUCCUUCUGGCCUUCGGCGCGUGCUCCGGCUACCUGAUUUCAGCUCCGUCCUCGUCGGCCAGAGCUAAGUCUUCGUUCCUCCCCUCGUUCCAGUUUCUUUGAUUUUUGUUCUAUUGAAAGCUCGGUUGAGGUCUAAAAGCAUUCUAAAUUGAGCAGAGUUUGGGUUUUGGCCAAAAUCUUAGUUAGUUUCUGAUGAUAUUGAUCUAGCGUUGGUAUCUGGUAUUUCCAUCAUCGUGUAAACGAUAAGCUUCUAUUUCUUAUGCUAUAUCUGAGCUAGCUGAAAGGGGUAAGUGGAGGUUUCACUACUUCACCUUACCCUAUCAUGUUGUCCAUUAUGAAAGAUGCUGGUUUAACAUGCUUUAGAUGCUUACAUGAUGCUAUGAGUUCAAUCUGAAAUUCGAAGGGGGUUUUACCUUCGCUGCAGUGUAUCUUGUUGCUCCUUGCUCUCAGCUUUGCCCCCUUUGACUGCCUCUCGCUGCCUCGGUCCCUCUCACUCUGGGGUUUCACUGAUUUGUGUGAUGGUUGUUACUUGCUCACUUAACCGCUGUAUUGCUGAAUUUCUUGCUGUUGUCCCUUGUGGCAAGUGUACAAUGAAGGUGCAGAGGCUGCUGACUGAGGUCUGCAAUAUGGUUAAUUGGAAUUCAGCAGCUGGAGCUCUGCAGAGCUGCUGCAGUUGUGCCCUUUUCUUAGCUUGUAGCGGCUGGACGUUGGCUGGAGAUGUGCAGGAGUUGCACUACGGCAGGCUGUCCCAAAUGGUGAGCCUUUCGUACUCCUCCCGGAGUGGUCCCGUUGUUCCAGGCCGAUAGGCUGAUCGGGAGCCGCGGUGGGUGCGGUUUGGGCUCGGGAGACGAAGGCCCAAAAUUAGCAUUUCAAAAAAAAAAGUAAUAGAAUAGUGUCUUUCCUCUUUUUCUCCUGUGCAUACUGUUUCCUUUGUUCUCUUUGAACAUUUGUAAUCUUAGACUUUGCUUGAAAUAAUAAAUGUUGUGUUACUCAAGAAAUAAACAUUCUCUCAUUCUUUAUCAAAA